rnacentral:misc_RNA from 1 species
GAUGAAGAACGUAGCAAAAUGCGAUAAGUAAUGUGAAUUGCAGAAUUCAGUGAAUCAUCGAGUCUUUGAACGCACAUUGCGCCCCCUGGUAUUCCGGGGGGCAUGCCUGUCCGAGCGUCAUUGCUGCCCUCAAGCACGGCUUGUGUGUUGGGCCUCCGUCCUCCUCCCGGGGGACGGGCCCGAAAGGCAGCGGCGGCACCGCGUCCGGUCCUCGAGCGUAUGGGGCUUCGUCACCCGCUCUUGUAGGCCCGGCCGGCGCUUGCCGACACAUCAAUCUUUUUUCCAGGUUGACCUCGGAUCAGGUAGGGAUACCCGCUGAACUUAAGCAUAUCAAAAGCGGAGGA